GAUGAAGAACGCAGCGAAAUGCGAUAAGUAAUGUGAAUUGCAGAAUUCAGUGAAUCAUCGAAUCUUUGAACGCACAUUGCGCCCCCUGGUAUUCCGGGGGGCAUGCCUGUUCGAGCGUCAUUUCACCACUCAAGCUUCGCUUGGUAUUGGGCAUCGCGGUCCGCCGCGCGCCUCAAAUCGACCGGCUGGGUCUUCUGUCCCCUAAGCGUUGUGGAAACUAUUCGCUAAAGGGUGUUCGGGAGGCUACGCCGUAAAACAACCCCAUUUCUAAGGUUGACCUCGGAUCAGGUAGGGAUACCCGCUGAACUUAAGCAUAUCAAUAAGCGGAGGA
rnacentral:misc_RNA from 1 species